CCAGCAUGCACAGUAUUAUAAUAUGGAGACUAUUGGAGCAGUUAUCGUUUUACACUCAGGGAACAGUAUGAGUAGGUAUCGUUUUACACUCAGGGAACAGUAUGGGUAGGUAUCGUUUUACACUCAGGGAACAGUAUGAGUAGGUAUCGUUUUACACUCAGGGAACAGUAUGAGUAGGUAUCGUUUUACACUCAGGGAACAGUAUGAGUAGGUAUCGUUUUACACUCAGGGAACAGUAUGGGUAGGUAUCGUUUUACACUCAGGGAACAGUAUGAGUAGGUAUCGUUUUACACUCAGGGAACAGUAUGAGUAGGUAUCGUUUUACACUCAGGGAACAGUAUGGGUAGGUAUCGUUUUACACUCAGGGAACAGUAUGAGUAGGUAUCGUUUUACACUCAGGGAACAGUAUGAGUAGGUAUCGUUUUACACUCAGGGAACAGUAUGAGUAGGUAUCGUUUUACACUCAGGGAACAGUAUGAGUAGGUAUCGUUUUACACUCAGGGAACAGUAUGAGUAGUUAUCAUUUUACACUCAGGGAACAGUAUGAGUAGGUAUCGUUUUACACUCAGGGAACAGUAUGAGUAGGUAUCGUUUUACACUCAGGGAACAGUAUGAGUAGUUAUCAUUUUACACUCAGGGAACAGUAUGAGUAGGUAUCGUUUUACACUCAGGGAACAGUAUGAGUAGGUAUCGUUUUACACUCAGGGAACAGUAUGAGUAGGUAUCGUUUUACACUCAGGGAACAGUAUGAGUAGGUAUCGUUUUACACUCAGGGAACAGUAUGAGUAGGUAUCGUUUUACACUCAGGGAACAGUAUGAGUAGGUAUCGUUUUACACUCAGGGAACAGUAUGAGUAGGUAUCGUUUUACACUCAGGGAACAGUAUGAGUAGGUAUCGUUUUACACUCAGGGAACAGUAUGAGUAGGUAUCGUUUUACACUCAGGGAACAGUAUGAGUAGGUAUCGUUUUACACUCAGGGAACAGUAUGAGUAGGUAUCGUUUUACACUCAGGGAACAGUAUGAGUAGGUAUCGUUUUACACUCAGGGAACAGUAUGAGUAGGUAUCGUUUUACACUCAGGGAA